CCUACGGGAGGCAGCAGUGGGGAAUAUUGCGCAAUGGGCGGAAGCCUGACGCAGCGACGCCGCGUGAGGGAUGACGGCCUUCGGGUUGUAAACCUCUUUCAGCUCCGACGAAUUUGACGGUAGGAGUAGAAGAAGCACCGGCCAACUACGUGCCAGCAGCCGCGGUAAU
rnacentral:rRNA from 1 species